rnacentral:lncRNA from 1 species
UACCUUGUUCCUCAGACCUGCAAGCAGAUCGUUUUUAAUGCCUGGACUCUAGUACUUCUCUUUUUUUUUUUUUUUUUUUUUUNNNNNNNNNNNNNNNNNNNNNNNNNNNNNNNNNNNNNNNNNNNNNNNNNNNNNNNNNGUGUUAAAAGCAGAAGUCUCUUAUCUGCUGGGCAGUUUGGAGAAGGCCAUGGAGACCAAGGCAGACUGACCUUCAGUGGAGAGUGAUAGUAGACAUGGGAUCAAGAGAAAUGAGUGGCACUCAUGGAGUAGUCACAGGUCCAAGGCCUAAAGCACAAGCACACAUGGAGAGGUCUAAGGUUCUGAGUUCUGGGAUGGUGGUGGCACUGGUGUCUGGGAUACAAGCACCCCAGUUUUCCUUGUUGGCAAUGGAAUGUAAGGCACCAAACAGAUGUGAAAAUUAUCUAGCAUUAUGUAAGGUGUUUAGUAUUCACUAUAAGUAAAACAUACUUUGGGGGCCCAGAGAACCAAUUUAUAUCUACCAGGAUAACUUGAAAAUAAUACAUGUUGGAGAGGAUGUGGAGAAAUUGGAACCCUCAUACAUUACUGAUAAGAAUGUAAAACGAUACAGCUGCUAGGAAAAACAGUUUCCAGUUCUUUAAAAGUUAAACAGUUACUAUGUCAUCUCAAAAUUUCACUCUUAGGUAGAUACUCAAGAGAACUGAAAAUACGUAUUCACACAAAAACUUAGACAUUCAUAGCAGCAUUAUUCAUAGUAGCCCAAAGGUGGAAACAACCCAAAUCUCCAUCAAAUGAUGAAUGGCUAAACAAAAUGUGAUAUAUCCAUGCAAUGGAAUAUUAUUCAGCCAUAAAAAGGAAUAUAACAUAAUACUGAUACAUGCUACAACAUGAAUGAAUUUCAAAAAUAUUAUGCUAUGUGGAAGAAAUUAUACAUGAAAAGUCACAUAUUGUAUGAUUGCAUUUAUAUGAAAUUUCUAGAAUAGACAAAUCAAUGGAAAGAGAAAGUAGAUUAGUAUUUUCCAGGGGAUGGGGGAGAGGGAUGAAUGGGGAAGGCUGCCUAAAGUGUGCAGAUUUGUGAGGUGAUGAAAAUAUUCUGAAAUUAGAUAGUAAUGUUGGUUACAACCUUGGGAAUAUAUUAAACUAUACUGAAUUGUACAAUUAAUAAUGGUAUGCUGAUAGUAUAUGAAUUCUAUCUCAAUGCUUAAAAAUUGCAGGAUCUCUCUAAGGAGUUCUUUGGCUAAUGUGCAUUAUAAAUUUCUAAGAUACAGAUACAGAAUUUUAUAAUUUCCAUCUUAUUUAACAAUAAAAUAUUUUUCAUAGGGUAGCUCUUUGGGAACAGCUGUAAGAAAUUAUUGCUCUAGUGAAUUCACUCCAAAUAAAUAUUCAUGUAAGAGCAUUCAGUACCUAGAGUAGAUGGUUUGGCUUAAAUGAUUCAUCACUGUUGAUUCUAGGUCAUUGCCAUUUCUCCAUUUCAUUUUGGCUCUGUUGACAGUAUUCUUCAUUAU